rnacentral:rRNA from 1 species
GAUGAACGCUAGCGAUAGGCCUAACACAUGCAAGUCGAGGGGCAUCACAUGAAGUAGCAAUACGGAUGGUGGCGACCGGCGCACGGGUGAGUAACACGUAUGCAACCUGCCUUCAACAAGGGGAUAACCCGUUGAAAGACGGACUAAUACCCUAUAACACAGGGGUCCCGCAUGGGAAUAUUUGUUAAAGGACAACCGGUUGAAGAUGGGCAUGCGUUCCAUUAGCUAGUUGGCGGGGUAACGGCCCACCAAGGCAACGAUGGAUAGGGGAACUGAGAGGUUUAUCCCCCACACUGGUACUGAGACACGGACCAGACUCCUACGGGAGGCAGCAGUGAGGAAUAUUGGUCAAUGGACGCAAGUCUGAACCAGCCACGUCGCGUGAAGGAAGACGGCCCUACGGGUUGUAAACUUCUUUUAUACGGGAAUAAAGUGCCCCACGCGUGGGGUUUUGCAUGUACCGUAUGAAUAGGAUCGGCUAACUCCGUGCCAGCAGCCGCGGU